CUAGGGGUCCAAUCAGGGCUAUAGCUGCUGGCAUACAUCACAGCCACAGUAAUACCAGAUCUGAGCCUCAUCUGUGUCAGCUCACUGGAACGCUGGAUCCUAAACCCACUGAACAAGGCCAGGGAUUGAACCCACAUCCUCAUGGAUGCUAGUAGGGUUUGUUAACCGCUGAGCCACAAUAGGAACUCCCGCUAUGUAAGUCUUUAAAUGGGUCAACCAAAAGCUCACUUUCCUCCUCAGAACUGAGGUGGGACAGUAAGAAAUUAGCUGAGCCUCCAAAUUUACUCUUUUUUCCUAAUUUAUAAUUAACCCAUCAUACCUGAAAAUAGGUCAAGCUGAUUUUCAGAGUCCAAAGAAUUUAAUCAGAGCCUAGAAUGUCUUGCAGGCAAAGGUCACAGGCAGCUGUGUAUCUGGCCUAAUUUAUUUUUAUGCUUAGUCAUCCAGGAUUGCACAGGGUAAAAGUCCAGAAGAGCUAAUUAAUCUUUAAUACCUUCUUAAUUUAGUAGUGCUGGGACUCCCUGCAAAGCUGAAUCUACACAUCCUUUCAAAUCUGGAAGAUUCAAGACAAAUGAUAGCUAUCAUUCUCUAUGUCCUUAGGUAUAUGCCUAGAGAGCUAAGGAUAAGUGGGGGAAAAAAUGGAUUUUCUUUCAACCUGUUGGAUCAAGGUAAAUGCAAUGCAAAUCUGUUGGCAAUCUUUCCAUAUCACUUGUGAAAUUCCUACCAUUUAGGAAAGACCAGCUCCUACCAAGGUUUUCAGCCAUAAGCUGCCUUAGGUCCCUUUAAGGUAUAAAGAAGAUUAUAAAUGAAACAUGUCAAACAUCACACAAAAACUGAGCACCUUCUAUUUGCCAGGCACUCUUCAAAGUGUGUUCUAUGCCUUAAAGAUCAUUGAUAUUCCCAAAUAUCUAGAAGAUUGGUGCUAUUACCAUCAUCUUCAAGAUAUAGCAGAGGCACAGAAAGAUGAAUGACUUGGCUCAGUCUUACAAUAGUUGGCAAGCUGGGAGUCAAACUUGGGAUUUAUCUCUAGAGGCUACACUUUUUUCAUCAAGGAGCAAUGCUAGGCAGCCAUUUUAAUGGCAUGAGAACAUUUCUAGACAAGUAUUUUAAAUUUGCUACUUCACUUAGUCCUCACCCAUCUUCAUGAGUAGGUAAUUAUUACCAUCCCACAGGUUCAGAGAGGUAGGUCUGUCAAAUGGCAACUCAAAGACGCUUAGUUAAUUAUUAGCAGCACAUUGUUUACUUGUGUGUAAGGUAUGCCAAGCAAUAGAUUUAUUUCAUCCAGCAAAGUCAAAAAACUUAUGUAACAAAAGGAGGGAAACAAAUGCCAGGGACUACCUAGGAAUAGGAUAUCAGUUUGUUCAUUAUUUUGUGUAGAAUAGAGUUCAAGGUGAACAUUCUGUUCUUACAUAGACCAAUGAGGACUUUCAAAGAAAACAAUUGGUGAUCCUCUAGAAACUCAAGCUUGGCCAUGAAUCAUGUAGGUCAUAUUUCAUUUCUAGCAUCAGAAUCUCUCAACUUACCCACUUCAGUCAAGACUCUUAUAAAGGCAUAAUGGCUUUUAGUCUCUUCUUUAUAACAUUUAGUCAUCUGGCAAUCACAAAUACAAUAAUGAGAUAUUUGAAAUCUGUAUUACCUCCAAGGACUUAAUUGGACGUGUCUUAAUAAGAUCAGGUCUCAAAGAUCAUCUUGAUGGAUUUAAGUUAAAUAAAUGUUUUUUUCAUAAUUAGAGUUUUAAUUUUAGUGGGAGCCAUAUUCAGAAAUAAACUGUAUAGCACAUAUUCUUUCGUUCAGGAAAUUUUAGUCAAAACAGAAACAGCUAGGCUUUGAGGAUUUUUUUUUUCCCCUAAUACUUGGGAAGACCAAAUCUGAAAUCUAAUCAUUGGAAAGACUGAUAAUGGAGAAAAGGACAAAAGAGAGUAACAAAACAGGAAGGAGAAAGCUUCGCAUCCUAGAUCUCCACUUUUUUUAGAGUAAUAUUUAAAACACAACAUAGAGUGAUAGUAGCCAGCACUUUGAGGUGAACCACCUGUCAAUGAAUGAAAUCUUGACAAGGCACAACAAUUAAUUAAAAAUCCCAUUUGAAUCCUUAAUUUUUCUCUUUCUUGGAGUGUUUUUUGUUUCCUUGUUUUUAAACCAAACCUAGUAAACAUUACGUGCAUCGUUUAGUAUAUGCAAAAAAAAUCAGAUAUUUAUAUGAUAAAUUAUUACGUGGUAAAUUCAAAGCCUUUAACCGCAGCUCUAUAAUAUAUUUACCUUAUCAGUAUACAUAAUACAAUACAUAUUUAAUUGAAUUUACUACAUUAAUGAACAGUAUUAACUUCCUAAUUAAUAAACAGACCAGGAGCUCCCAUCAUGGCUCAGGGGUUAACAAAUCUGACUAGGAACCAUGAGGUUUUGGGUUCAAUUCCUGGCCUCGCUCAGUGGGUAAAGGAUCCAGUGUUGCUGUGUCUGUGGUGUAGGCCAGUGGCUACAGCUCCGAUUUGACCCCUAGCCUGGGAACCUCCAUAUGCAGCAGGUGCAGCCCUAGAAAAGAUAAAAUAAAUAAGUAAAUAAAUAAAUAAACAGACCAAACAACCAUUAUUUGUGUACAUAUUUGGUUUUCUCUGUAGCUAUCAUACUCGGUAGAGUAAGAGCUGUUUGUGUUAACAACAGCCCUUAAAAAAGGCAGGCGAUUGAGUUCCCUCACAGGCAUAAGGAAACUGGGAGGCCAUGCAAAACCUGACUGGUCCUCUGGGACGACAUGUACAAUUGACAUUUCCCUUUAACGAAUUUAAUCAAAAACAAGCAUAUCUCUUUCCCUUUUCCUCAGGCAUCUACGUAUUUUCUAACCUGUUACUCUAUGGUCAUUCUUAACUGUGUACAAAAUAAAAGACUUGCAUAGAUCUAAUGAUUGUUACUGGUAGGUAUUUUGUACCCUUCAAUUUAGAAAGUGUUCAGGUAUGCAAAAUUAGGCAUUUAUUUACUCAUUAUUCACCUAAUUUCUUUAAGUUAUCCAUAGACUUUGAAUUCGGUAUUUAAACUGACACAUUGAGCCCUUGUGAUUUGUAACAUUAUAAAAAUUAAUUCCAUUAUAUGAGUUCCCUGAUGACUCAUGGGUUAAGGAUUUGGCAUUGUCACUGCUGUGGCACUGGUUACUGCUGUGGCCUGGGUUCAGUUCCUGGCCCAAGAACUUCCACAAGUAAGGCCAAAAACAAAUGAAUAAAAUUUUAAAAUAAAAUAAAAAAAGAAUCCCAGAGUUCCGACUUGGCGCGGCAGAAACGAAUCCGACCAGGAACCACGAGAUUGUGGGUUUGAUCCCUGGCCUUGCUCAGUGGGUUAAGGAUCCGGCCUUGCUGUGAGCUGUGGUGUAGGUUGCAGAUGCAGCUCAGAUCCUGCGUUGCUGUGACUCUGGCGUAGGCUGGUGGCUACGGCUCCGAUUGACCCCUAGCCUGGGAACCUCCAUUUGCCGCGGGUGCAGCCCUAAAACAAACAAAAAAAACGAACAAACAAAAUUCCUUUUUUAAAAUUAUGUUAUUUACAUUAUCACCAUCUUGUAAUAAUUUAGUACAAUGUGUAAUUUGUGUAAUGUAAAAUUUUAAGUAAAGUGGUUAACUGAUCU
rnacentral:lncRNA from 1 species